UAUUUUACUAAACUAUAGUAGUAAAAUAUAGUGACAAAAUAGUUCGUUUAAUGGUUGAAAUUCCCUCAUUUUGUUUUCUCAAACAGUGAAGAAGCCUUUGCUUGCAUUGAUGUUUUAGAAUCUCUCUCUCUCUCUCUCUCUCUCACUCCCAAAACGGUAGUGUUAAAAAAUCUCAGCAGCUCCAGAAAAGUGAAAGAGAAGCUAAAAAAUCUCAGCAGCUCCAGAAAAGUGAAAGGGAAGCCAGUGAAGACAAUUCCUUUCUCAGUUUUGUUGCGUUGUUUCUAGCUCAAAAAAUAAGACAUGACCAGAAGAAACUUUGUUAUAUUAUAAAGUUAUGAACUUUGUUAAGAGUUACUCAAGUUUGAGAGAUCUCCGAGAAGGCACUCACCAGCCGUCUUCUUCAGUUUGUUGUUAAAAAGGCAUUCUGUAUCAUGCAGAUUUGAAGUA